ACGUAGGGUGCAAGCGUUGUCCGGAUUUAUUGGGCGUAAAGAGCUCGUAGGCGGUUAGUCGCGUCGGAUGUGAAAUCCUAGAGCUUAACUCUGGGCCUGCAUUCGAUACGGGCUGACUCGAGUAUUGUAGGGGAGACUGGAACUCCUGGUGUAGCGGUGAAAUGCGCAGAUAUCAGGAAGAACACCGGUGGCGAAGGCGGGUCUCUGGGCAAUUACUGACGCUGAGGAGCGAAAGCGUGGGGAGCAAACAGG
rnacentral:rRNA from 1 species